rnacentral:rRNA from 1 species
CAGUAGCCGCGGGAAUACGUAGGGUGCGAGCGUUAAUCGGAAUUACUGGGCGUAAAGCGUGCGCAGGCGGUUUUGUAAGACAGAUGUGAAAUCCCCGGGCUUAACCUGGGAACUGCAUUUGUGACUGGCGGGCUAGAGUAUGGCAGAGGGGGGUAGAAUUCCACGUGUAGCAGUGAAAUGCGUAGAGAUGUGGAGGAAUACCGAUGGCGAAGGCAGCCCCCUGGGCCAAUACUGACGCUCAUGCACGAAAGCGUGGGGAGCAAACAGGAUUAGAUACCCGCGUAGUCCCUGUCUCUUAUAC